rnacentral:rRNA from 1 species
CUACUCUGGUUGAUCCUGCCAGUAGUCAUAUGCUUGUCUCAAAGAUUAAGCCAUGCAUGUCUAAGUUCACACUGUCUCACGGUGAAACCGCGAAUGGCUCAUUAAAUCAGUCGAGGUUCCUUAGAUGACACGAUCCUACUUGGAUAACUGUGGCAAUUCUAGAGCUAAUACAUGCUGUUGAAGCUCCGACCCUCGUGGGGAAGAGCGCUUUUAUUAGUUCAAAACCAAUCGGCGUGUGCCUUCGCGGGCCGCGUCGCCAAUUCUGGUGACUCUGGAUAACUUUGUGCUGAUCGCAUGGCCUUUUGCGCCGGCGACGCAUCUUUCAAAUGUCUGCCCUAUCAAAUGUCGAUGGUAGGUGACAUGCCUACCAUGUUUGUAACGGGUAACGGGGAAUCAGGGUUCGAUGCCGGAGAGGGAGCAUGAGACACGGCUACCACAUCCAAGGAAGGCAGCAGGCGCGCAACUUACCCACUCCCGGCACGGGGAGGUAGUGACGAAAAAUAACAAUACGGGACUCUUUCGAGGCCCCGUAAUUGGAAUGAGUACACUUUAAACCCUUUAACGAGGAUCUAUUGGAGGGCAAGUCUGGUGCCAGCAGCCGCGGUAAUUCCAGCUCCAAUAGCGUAUAUUAAAGUUGUUGCAGUUAAAAAGCUCGUAGUUGGAUCUCAGGCGCAGGCGGGCGGUCCGGCUCGCGCCGGCUCACUGCCCGUUGUCUCCUGCCCUACCGUCUGCCGGCUCUCUCCCGCGGGUGCUCUUCACUGAGCGUCCCGGGUGGCCGGCGCGUUUACUUUGAAAAAAUUAGAGUGUUCAAAGCAGGCCUCGGCUGCCUGAAUAAUGGUGCAUGGAAUAAUGGAAUAGGACCUCGGUUCUAUUUUGUUGGUUUUCGGAACUAGAGGUAAUGAUUAACAGGGACAAACGGGGGCAUUCGUAUUGCGGCGUUAGAGGUGAAAUUCUUGGAUCGCCGCAAGACGAGCUACUGCGAAAGCAUUUGUCAAGAAUGUUUUCAUUAAUCAAGAACGAAAGUCAGAGGCGCGAAGACGAUCAGAUACCGUCGUAGUUCUGACCAUAAACAAUGCCAUUUUGCGAUCCGCAGGAGUUGCUUCGAUGACUCUGCGGGCAGCAUCCGGGAAACCAAAUGUUUGGGUUCCGGGGGAAGUAUGGUGCAAAGCUGAAACUUAAAGGAAUUGACGGAAGGGCACCACCAGGAGUGGAGCCUGCGGCUUAAUUUGACUCAACACGGGAAGACUCACCCGGUCCGGACACUGUAAGGAUUGACAGAUUGAUAGCUCUUUCUUGAUUCGGUGGGUGGUGGUGCAUGGCCGUUCUUAGUUGGUGGAGCGAUUUGUCUGGUUAAUUCCGAUAACGAACGAGACUCUAGCCUAUUAAAUAGUUCGCCGGUCCUUCAUGCGCCGGCGCAACUUCUUAGAGGGACGAGUGGCGUUUAGCCACACGAGAUUGAGCAAUAACAGGUCUGUGAUGCCCUUAGAUGUCCGGGGCCGCACGCGCGCUACACUGAAGGAAUCAGCGUGGAUGCCUCCCUGGCCCGAAAGGGCUGGGAAACCCGUUGAAUCUCCUUCGUGCUAGGGAUUGGGGCUUGUAAUUCUUCCCCAUGAACGAGGAAUUCCCAGUAAGCGCGAGUCAUAAGCUCGCGUUGAUUACGUCCCUGCCCUUUGUACACACCGCCCGUCGCUACUAUCGAUUGAGCGGUUCAGUGAGGGCCUCGGAUUGGUCUCGGUCUGGUGUUUCGGCGCCGGCACCGUUGGCCGAGAAGAAGCUCGAACUCGAUCGCUUGGAGAAAGUAAAAGU